AAAUAAAACUCACCCACAACAGAACAGCAGUCAAAUGGUUUCUGGAUACAGGCAAUGAGAUGGUAUGACAGUUGAUUUUAGGUGUAUCUGUUAAUCAAAUGAAUGUGGGAGAUAAAAUAAGAUCCAAGAUGGACUUUGGUUCAUCAAGCUGCAGCAAUACUUUGAGUGGGGGAACACAGGACAGAAAACAAGACCAAAAAUCAGCAAACACAGAUUUCUUAAAUGAAGAACAUUCUCUUUGGACCCUUGACCCUCCUCCUCUUCAUGACCUCUG